CCUACGGGAGGCAGCAGUGGGGGAUAUUGGACAAUGGGGGAAACCCUGAUCCAGCGAUGCCGCGUGAGGGAAGAAGGUUUUCGGAUUGUAAACCUCUGUGGAGGGGGACGAUAAUGACGGUACCCCUUUAGGAAGCCACGGCUAACUACGUGCCAGCAGCCGCGGUAAUACGUAGGUGGCGAGCGUUAUCCGGAUUUAUUGGGUUUAAAGGGUGCGUAGGCGGGUUAUCAAGUCAGCGGGAAAAUCGUGGAGCUCAACUCCAUCCAGCCGUUGAAACUGAUGAUCUUGAGUGGGCGAGAAGUAUGCGGAAUGCGUGGUGUAGCGGUGAAAUGCAUAGAUAUCACGCAGAACUCCGAUUGCGAAGGCAGCAUACCGGCGCCCGACUGACGCUGAAGCACGAAAGCGUGGGUAUCGAACAGGAUUAGAUACCCUAGUAGUC
rnacentral:rRNA from 1 species